CCUACGGGUGGCAGCAGUGAGGAAUAUUGGUCAAUGGUCGGGAGCCUGAACCAGCCAAGCCGCGUGAGGGAUGAAGGUCCAGCGUAUCGUAAACCUCUUUUGUCAGGGAACAAAGGCGGGGACGUGUCCCCGGAUGAGUGUACCUGACGAACAAGCAUCGGCUAACUCCGUGCCAGCAGCCGCGGUAAUACGGAGGAUGCGAGCGUUAUCCGGAUUUAUUGGGUUUAAAGGGUGCGCAGGGGGGCUGUUAAGUCAGGUGUGAAAGCCCGGGGCUCAACCCCGGCCCGGCCGUUGAAACUGGCAGGCUUGAGUUGGAGAGAGGUAGGCGGAAUGCGCGGUGUAGCGGUGAAAUGCAUAGAUAUCGCGCAGAACUCCGAUUGCGAAGGCAGCAUGCCGGAUCCACACUGACGCUGAGGCACGAAAGCGUGGGUAUCGAACAGGAUUAGAUACCCUAGUAGUC
rnacentral:rRNA from 1 species